rnacentral:tRNA from 1 species
GGUCCAGUAGCUCAGUGGAUAGAGCGGCCGCCUCCUAAGCGGCAGGUCGGCUGUUCGAUUCAGCCCUGGAUCA